ensembl:snoRNA SNORD57 small nucleolar RNA, C/D box 57
UGGAGGUGAUGAGCUGUCUUAGCCUGACCUUGUAAAGUGGGGGCAAAAAACUGAUUUAAUGAGCCUGAUCC